rnacentral:misc_RNA from 1 species
AGUCGCGCGGAGAGCCCCGCAGUGUUUAGACGUGUUGGAGUCUACAACGACGCAAUCGAAAAUGCCCAAGUCAAAUAGAAUCCAGCAAAUCGUCAAAUUAGGUCAAGAAGGCCGAGUACCCUUACCAUUUUCAAAUAAUGAAGGUAUUGUGCAAACAGUUACAAAUAGUAAUGUUAUGAAGCCUAUAACAGACCAACUGACCAAA